rnacentral:rRNA from 1 species
UACAGAGGUCCCAAGCGUUGUUCGGAUUCAUUGGGCGUAAAGGGUGCGUAGGCGGCGCGGUAAGUCGGGUGUGAAAUCUCGGGGCUUAACUCCGAAACUGCAUUCGAUACUGCCGUGCUUGAGGACUGGAGAGGAGACUGGAAUUUACGGUGUAGCGGUGAAAUGCGUGGAUAUCGUAAGGAAGACCAGUGGCGAAGGCGGGUCUCUGGACAGUUCCUGACGCUGAGGCACGAAGGCCAGGGGAGCAAACGGG